GGCUGCCUGCCACUGCUUUCUCUCUCCCUGAACACACCAUGGGUCUCAGGCUUCUCUGCUCCGUGGCCCUUUUUUUCCUGGAAGCAGGCUCCACGGGCGCCGAAGUCAUCCAGAGACCUCGAUAUCUGAUCAGAGGAAAAGAGCAGAAAGCAAAGCUAAAGUGUGUCCCUAUCAAGGGACAUGAUUAUGUUUAUUGGUAUCGUCAGAAACCAAAUGAGGAACUCAAGUUUCUCGGUUACCUUUAUAAAGAGGAUAUCAUGGAGAAAACAGAAGUGCUUGGCGAGAGAUUUUCACCUCAGUGCCCCCAAAACAAACCCUGUACGGUGGAAAUUCAGUCCGCUGAGCCAGCCGAUUCAGCGCUGUAUUUCUGUGCCAGCAGUACACACAGGGGUGCCCUCCAAGACACUCAGUACUUCGGUGCUGGUACUCGGCUCUCGGUGCUAGAGGACCUGAGCAAGGUGACCCCACCCACGGUCAAUGUGUUCGAGCCAUCAGAAGCAGAGAUCGCCCAGAAACAAAAGGCCACCCUCGUGUGCCUGGCCACGGGCUUCUACCCCGACCACGUGGAGCUGACCUGGUGGGUGAACGGGAAGAAGGUGCACAGUGGGGUCAGCACGGACCCUCAGCCCUACCACGAGUACCCCAAUGUCAGCGACUCCACCUACUGCCUGAGCAGCCGCCUGAGGGUCUCGGCCGCCUUCUGGCACAAUCCUCGCAACCACUUCCGCUGCCAAGUCCAGUUCUUUGGGCUGGAGGAGGAAGAUGAGUGGGCCUACGAUAAGGCCAAGCCUGUCACCCAGAACAUCAGUGCCGAGAUGCAGGGCAGGGCAGACUGUGGCAUUACCUCAGCAACCUAUCAGCAAGGGGUCCUGUCGGCUACCAUCUUUUAUGAGAUCCUCUUGGGGAAGGCCACCCUGUAUGCUGUGCUGGUCAGCAUCCUUGUCCUGAUGGCCACGGUCAAGAAGAAGAACCCCUGAGGCUAGCUGCUGUUGUUCAGCCUGAGGUCCUCUUCAACCACUCUCUGGAUCCUCCUGUACCUGCCCUCUAAUCUGUGUUUGUAAGAAAUUCUUCUCUCUCCCCUCCUGACAUGGGUGUCUGCAUCCUUCCAGAUUGCGUCCCAUGCACUGGGCUCCCAGCUGUGAAUCAGCCACAGAAUAAACGAUGCUGAAUAAAAAUGCUGAGCUUG